UCUGCUGUCCGCACGGAGAGCGAAGCAUUAAAAAUAAAAAUAAACAUUUUGGGGGAAUGUAACUUUGUACAGGAAGAAAGCUAACACGAAAGCGUCGUAUGAUUGGCCAUUCUGACUGUUUUUUUUUGUAUCAAACAUUGAGAUUUGUUGACAAAUUGCCUUUGUUAGCUGGUAACUCAACCAACUUGGUCUGAAGCGGCGGGUGGUAGAUGGUUGUCCCCCGCUCACUGAGCGGUGUGUCUCGGCAGGAGGAGCGCAUCGACUCCGCUUCAUUGGCAGCAGAGAACUGGAAGGAGAGGCGGCCAAAGAAAGAAUUGGUUUUGGGGGUGACCAGAGAGAUAUACCUGCUGGAGCGCGUGCUACAGGGCCAACAGGCAAGGUCCUUACUUGCUCCCCCUUCCACUUGCCUCUUCCAGUUCUGCGGUAAUGCUGCAAUUAGUUGGGUUGCAGCGGCGACAACCAACAGGCACAUGCAGGAUGAGGAGGCGGAGCUGAAGCUCAGCUGACCCCACCCAUUUAGUGUGACCUCCCUCCUACCCUCACCCAUCCAGCCAGCCGGGCCCAUGUUCUCUCCAGAGCAGGAAAAUAUCUCCCCCUCCUCCACCUCCUCCUCCAAAGUGCCGGUGAAAUAUGGAGAGCUCAUGGUGCUGGGGUAAGGAGCCAACCACAUUAUAAC
ensembl:lncRNA